GUACGCCGCCUGGGGAGUACGGCCGCAAGGCUAAAACUCAAAGGAAUUGACGGGGGCUCACACAAGCGGUGGAGCAUGUGGAUUAAUUCGAAGCAACGCGCAGAACCCUACCUGGGUUUGACAUGCACGGAUGCUCUCUUGGAAACAGGAGCAGGCUGCCUUCGGGUGAAACGUGCACAGGUGCUGCAUGGCUGUCGUCAGCUCGUGCUGUGAAGUGUCAGGUUAAGUCCCUUAACGAGCGAAACCCCUAUCGUUAGUUGCCAGCGAGUCAUGUCGGGGACUCUAGCGAGACCGCCGGCGUUAAGCCGGAGGAAGGUGGGGACGACGUCAAGUCAUCAUGGCCUUUAUGCCCAGGGUGUCACACGUGCUACAAUGGCCGGUACAGAGCGACGCGAUACCGAGAGGUGGAGCAAAUCGCACAAAGCCGGCCCCAGUUCGGAUUGGAGUCUGAAACUCGACUCCAUGAAGUUGGAAUCGCUAGUAAUCGCGUAUCAGCCACGACGCGGUGAAUGUGUUCCUGAGCCUUGUACACACCGCCCGUCAAGUCAUGGAAGCCGGGAGUACCCGAAGUCCGUUUAGCUAACCGCAAGGAAGCGACGGCCGACGGUAAGACUGGUGACUGGGACUAAGUCGUAACAAGGUAACCGUA
rnacentral:rRNA from 1 species